CACGAACGCUGGCGGCAGGCUUAACACAUGCAAGUCGAGCGCCCCGCAAGGGGAGCGGCAGACGGGUGAGUAACGCGUGGGAAUCUACCCAUCUCUACGGAAUAACGCAUGGAAAUGUGUGCUAAUACCGUAUACGUCCUUCGGGAGAAAGGUUUAUCGGAGAGGGAUGAGCCCGCGUCGGAUUAGCUAGUUGGUGGGGUAAAGGCCUACCAAGGCGACGAUCCAUAGCUGGUCUGAGAGGAUGAUCAGCCACACUGGGACUGAGACACGGCCCAGACUCCUACGGGAGGCAGCAGUGGGGAAUAUUGGACAAUGGGCGCAAGCCUGAUCCAGCCAUGCCGCGUGAGUGAUGAAGGCCCUAGGGCUGUAAAGCUCUUUCACCGGUGAAGAUAAUGACGGUAACCGGAGAGGAAGCAGUGGCAAACUCUGUGCCAGCCGCCGCCGUAACAC
rnacentral:rRNA from 1 species